UAAGUGGGAAAGGAUGUGGAGUUGCAUUGACAACCAGGAGGUUGGCUUAGAAGCAGCCACCCUUUAAAGAGUGCGUAAUAGCUCACUGGUCAAGUGAUUCCGCGCCGACAAUGUAGCGGGGCUCAAGCACACCACCGAAGCUGUGGCAUUGACACACUGCUCGGCCAGUUUUCCUGCGGGGUUCUGGUCCAGGCGUGUUGAUGGGUAGGGGAGCGUCGUGUGGCCAGGGAAGCGGCGGAGUGAUCCAGCCGUGGAGGCCACACGAGUGAGAAUGCAGGCAUGAGUAGCGAAUGACGGGCGAGAAACCCGUCCGCCGAAUAACCAAGGGUUCCAGGGUCAAGCUAAUCUGCCCUGGGUAAGUCGGGACCUAAGGCGAGGCCGACAGGCGUAGUCGAUGGACAUCCGGUUGAUAUUCCGGAACCGGCGAAGAACCGCCCAUGACGAACCUAGUGAUGCUAAACGCCCAAAGCUGUUGUCCAAGACCUUCGGGUUGAGGGUUUCAGUGGAGCGCGUGACCCGAUCUAGUAGUAGUCAAGCGAUGGAGAGACGCAGGAAGGUAGCCUCCGCGUGGCGAUGGUAGUCCACGUCCAAGGGUGUAGGGCGAGCUGUAG
rnacentral:rRNA from 1 species